rnacentral:rRNA from 1 species
UACGGAGGGGGCUAGCGUUGUCCGGAAUCAUUGGGCGUAAAGAGCGUGUAGGCGGUCCGGUAAGUCCGCUGUGAAAGUCGGGGGCUCAACCCUCGAAUGCCGGUGGAUACUGUCGGGCUAGAGUGCGGAAGAGGCGAGUGGAAUUCCUGGUGUAGCGGUGAAAUGCGCAGAUAUCAGGAGGAACACCGGUGGCGAAGGCGGGUCUCUGGGCCGUAACUGACGCUGAGGAGCGAAAGCAUGGGGAGCGAACAGG